rnacentral:rRNA from 1 species
UACGGAAGGCAGCAGUGGGGAAUAUUGCACAAUGGGCGCAAGCCUGAUGCAGCCAUGCCGCGUGUAUGAAGAAGGCCUUCGGGUUGUAAAGUACUUUCAGCGGGGAGGAAGGCGGUGGAGUUAAUAGCUUCACCGAUUGACGUUACCCGCAGAAGAAGCACCGGCUAACUCCGUGCCAGCAGCCGCGGUAAUACGGAGGGUGCAAGCGUUAAUCGGAAUUACUGGGCGUAAAGCGCACGCAGGCGGUCUGUCAAGUCGGAUGUGAAAUCCCCGGGCUUAACCUGGGAACUGCAUUCGAAACUGGCAGGCUAGAGUCUUGUAGAGGGGGUAGAAGUUCCAGGUGUAGCGGUGAAAUGCGUAGAGAUCUGGAGGAAUACCGGUGGCGAAGGCGGCCCCUGGGACAAAGACUGACGCUCAGGUGCGAAAGCGUGGGGAGCGAAACAGGGAUUAGGAUACC